CUCCCUGAUGGAGAGAGAGAACAGACAAUAUAAAUGGACCUGGGGACAGACAGCAUGAAGAGUGGAUGUUUCCCACAAAGCAAUAAAAACAAUCCUACAUCUGUUUCAACAGACUCACCUGUCCAUUGUUGUAACGGCCGUCGUGGGAAGAAGUCCUCCCGGUUUUGACCCUUGCCUGUUCUCUGGACUCUGUACCCGCCUGCCUGACCAUUCUGCCUGCCUUGACCACGAGCCUGUCUGCCACUCUGUACCUCCUGGACUCUGAUCUGGUUUUGACCUUUGAGCCUGUCAACGACCAUUCUCUUGCCGACCCCUUGGAUUAUUAAACAUCUUAAACUCCAA